rnacentral:rRNA from 1 species
UGACCUGCGGAAGGAUCAUUAAU